UACGUAGGCAGCAAGCGUUGUUCGGAGUUACUGGGCGUAAAGGGUGUGUAGGCGGUUCUUUUAAGUUUGGUGUGAAAUCUCCCGGCUCAACCGGGAGGGUGCGCCGAAUACUGAGGGACUAGAGUGCGGGAGAGGAAAGUGGAAUUCCUGGUGUAGCGGUGAAAUGCGUAGAUAUCAGGAGGAACACCGGUGGUGUAGACGGCUUUCUGGACCGUAACUGACGCUGAGACACGAAAGCGUGGGUAGCAAACAGG
rnacentral:rRNA from 1 species